UGCGCUCUUGCUCCUGAGCUGCAAAGCAAGCAGCAUCUCUUGGGUUCCGGACUAUCAGAGAGAGAAGAUCUGUGCGACUUACCAGGCAAAACCAGGCCUGAAGCCUAACAAUCCCGCAACUUACUAACCGGUAAAUGAAAAGGACACCCUUAACUGACCAGGAGGUUGAGGUUCUCCACAAUAGCAGUAAGACAAGUGAAAGUUCAAAGUCUCCAUAAUGACCCAGUUACAACUUGCUGUAAUGGAAACUCAUGAUAUGCAUACAAAAAGACUGUUGUCUCAAUCUGCAACUAAUGCAACAGCUGUAGGCACCCUGAUUGAAAGCCACAGGUCUUUUGAGGGAUGCAUAGCCAUUUAGUCCCAAGACAAGCACAGGUCCUUUACUGUCUGCCAGAACACAUCACAGUGAUCUCAUCCCUCCCUGCUUCCAGCUUGUGGUCUAAAGAAGGCUCCUAUACUAUUUACUGAGAGCGAAUUUUCGCAAACAUGAGAAUAUCCUCAUAUUCGCAAAUAUCAUCCCUAAAGAAUAUUAGGAGAUAGAUAAUAUAGAUAGUUAUCCGCAUGCGUGCACAUGUCUGCGCAUACGAAAAUAACUGUAAAUAUAUCAAAUUUGCAAAUUUCGCGAAUAUAGGACUAAUAGGACUAAUAUUAGUGCAUAAUUGCAAAAUAUCGCGAGUUUGAUUAUGGCAUAUGCCUCUCAUCACUAUUGGAGAUUGGUUAAGCUUGAAUAGAAGCACCCUUGCAGUCACAAUUUGUACAUACAAGUUCUACAUUUUUAUCUUGGAGGGAUGACUGCUACAGCUAUAAACAGGCAUGUAAUGGAGAAUGCUUUCUUUUCCUUUUUACAGUAUGUGUAGAAGUUCUCUCUGCCAGCACUUGGUGUGUUUGAUUAGUUACAGUAACUAGAGCUUAUAAAAUAUCCAGAGACUGAGCUAAGGGACUGCACAAACAUUCUGCCACGGAAGCAGGACUCUGUAGGUGUAGAAAAGGGUUAACCCAUUCUGGCCCGGCGGAUGAAAAAGAAUAUGGCAAUUUUUUUCAUCUUUUCCUUAUGAUAUGUUUAACUUUAGAAAUAUACUAUGUAAUUUUAGUACAUAGCAAAAAAUAAAUAAAUAAACAUCUUUCUUUCUAACCUGACCACAGGUGCCAUAGUUCAGCUCAGGUCCUGUUCACAUCACGUACCAGGGCUCUAUCAGCAGUAUACUGUUGAGGGUAUUUUGAUGUAUACCACAACAUGCCCACAGAGUAGCCAUAGGGUUGGAAAGCGUUCACUUGGACUAUACGUAAAUAUGUUUUUGUCUGGUUCACAAUGAUAUCAGGCUAGGGAUACAUUUUUCCUACUACAGUCCAUUGCAAAUUUGCAUUCAAAUUGUAAGAAACUAAAGAUUUAUCCAAUGCAUGUCGCAGUUAUUUAGAUUAUCAGAAGUAUUUUGGUGGUUUGACUUAUUGUAAAUUAUAAAUGCUGCUUUAAGUAAUUCCAAAAGGAAAGCUGCUCUCCACCACAGUCAAUUAAUAUGCAAAUAACAGGAAAACAGCUGAAGUGUGAAGCGCACCAAAUGUUGGCCACCCACAGUCUCAGGAAGGACACAUUACAUGACGCAAGUUCUUUUAAUUGGGUAAGCUAGGGUCCUAGCCCAUGGCCACUGUACAACUUCGCUUUAGGGCCCCCGACAAGUGAUAACUAAUCUGACACAGUUCCCACGGCUUUAUCUGAGGUUUGUAACCUGGUCUCGGCUAAACAUGAUCCACAUUUUACUGAGAAAUGUGUAACUAAUUGUCGGGUUAAUCAGAUGGUUUCCAGCCCUGUGGAAAGACAGAAUUCCCACGUGCAGAAGAAAAGGAGUCAGAAAAAUAGCAAACAUUAGUACAAACGCUUGAAAGCUCCUGGUCGAUGAAGACUAGAAGAUAAGCCAUAUAACAGUUCACAGUGUAUAAAGUACUGUAUUAGGCAAUGUCCACAUUUUGUGUGUAUUUUUUCCACUCUACAUAGAUAUAUUUAAUAAUCCACAAUAGGGUUAUUCCCCUUGCACACCACAUUCACACGAUCAUCUUUUUUCGAUUAAAAGAAGAGGAACAGUUCCCAGGACAAGGGAAAGUACAGGCCCAUGUAAGUUAACAAAGGUUUCCACAAAUCUACAGUGAAUUCCAGCUUUUGUAAACUGUCUUAUUGAAAAACAUUGAUUUUUCAACUUCAUCGACUGCAAUGAUACUGUAUCCAAACCAAAAGUAGUUUGUUCAAUAAAAGGAAAAUGAAUGGGGUACUCCUGCACUUUAAAACCCACUCUGUCUACAGGAUAGGGCAUAAAAGUGUCUGA